UGCACGGUGGUGCAGUUGGUAGCACAGUUGCCUUGCAGCAAGAAAGUCCUGGGUUCGACUCCCCGCCGGGGGUCUUUCUGCAU